rnacentral:lncRNA from 1 species
AUUCUUCCAAUUCAGCUAACUGAAGUUUUCGUUUGUCUCCAGCAAGAUUCAUGUUCAUUGAGUUGCUUUAGAGCCUAGUAAACUCUAUGUUCAAGCUCCAAAGGAAGAUGGUAGGGUUUUCCAAACACUAAACGGUAUGAAGAUAUCCCCAACAGAGUUUUAAAGGUCAUUCGAUAAGCCCAUAGCGCACCGUCGAGUUUCCUUGACCAAUUUUUUUGUUAGGU